UACGAAGGGGGCUAGCGUUGCUCGGAAUCACUGGGCGUAAAGCGCACGUAGGCGGCUUUCUAAGUCAGGGGUGAAAUCCUGGAGCUCAACUCCAGAACUGCCUUUGAUACUGGAGAGCUUGAGUCCGGAAGAGGUGAGUGGAACUCCGAGUGUAGAGGUGAAAUUCGUAGAUAUUCGGAAGAACACCAGUGGCGAAGGCGGCUCACUGGUCCGGUACUGACGCUGAGGUGCGAAAGCGUGGGAGCA
rnacentral:rRNA from 1 species